rnacentral:rRNA from 1 species
UACGGAGGGUGCAAGCGUUAUCCGGAUUCACUGGGUUUAAAGGGUGCGUAGGUGGCUUGGUAAGUCCGUGGUGAAAUCCCCGAGCUUAACUCGGGAACUGCCGUGGAUACUAUCAAUCUUGAAUACUGUGGAGGUAAGCGGAAUAUGUCAUGUAGCGGUGAAAUGCUUAGAUAUGACAUAGAACACCGAUAGCGAAGGCAGCUUGCUACACAGUCAUUGACACUGAGGCACGAAAGCGUGGGGAGCAAACAGG